AAUUUCUGCAAAACAGACAGCUGGGAUUUCGAUAAGGAUUGCCUCCAAUCUGGAAAUCAAUUGGAGAGCUGGACAACUUGAGUGAUGGGAGACGGCGUGGUGACAGCAACGGACAUGGAAAUUGCCAGGCCCCUGAGGACUGCUGAGGAAGAACUUGACAGACUUCGCCCACCCCCCCCAACCCCCGGAUGGGUGAAAUGGAUGAAGGAGAUCAAAAGGAAGAACAACUAACAACAAUUCACGGACAAGACACCACUGAGAAAAUCCUAAAACAUGCAAGUGAGGCUGAAGUACCCUCCUGUACCACAGAGACCAAGACAGACUGC